ACCACCAAGAACAACAAUCCAAAAAGAACCCAAUUUUUUUUCUUCCAAAAAUCAAUCUCGGUAAACCCAGAAACAUAAUCAUAAAUUUCUUUUGUUCUUCUAUUCUUCAUCCCUUUACAACAACCCAAUUUCUUCCUAACCCAAAAACAUAAUUCUUCUUCCCAAUUCUUCAUCCCAUCAAUUCAAUCCCUAACCCAUAAAUUCAAAAACUCAGUUUCUGCCUUUAUAGGAAAUCCGGUUCCUAGUUCCUGCCUUUGUUCUUAUCAAUCAUUUGUUUCGACGAAUU
rnacentral:lncRNA from 1 species